ensembl:lncRNA
CUGGCUGGGAUUCACCCCAUUCCCUGAAAAUCCCAGUAGUAGAGCUGGGGAGAUGGGUCAGCAGUGGUAGGAUGGGACUACAGUUUCAGUUCAGUUCCCUUUCAUUGCCCUCACAUUGGCAUUUGAAGCCAAGGGACUGUGGGACCUCAUAUGUCUGCCCACAGACUCAAGCUUGCAGGGGCUGGAGAAUCCCCCCUCUGGACUACUCCUCUCGUAUGCCAAAGUGCCACAGCCACCAGGCUUUGGAGCAAUGUUACUCACCGAAGAGCAGCUGAUGCCUCAGUCACAAAGGUACUGCUGUUUAGAGAAAGGAACUGUCCUGUUGUGAUACAAAUCCAAAAUGGAGAGAAAUACCAGGCACAUGAGAGAUUCAGUGAGGAUGUUUCUCUGCCCUGGAAAACUGUUCCUGAGGUCAGUGAGCCCAUUUCACCUUAGCAGAAUUGCCCUCAUGGAGGUCCUCUCAGAUACACUGGAAAAAGGAGGUCUAACUACUGUAGCUUGGACAAAAUCAUAGGAAACCUGAUCUUUGUUAUUCAGUGAAAGUAUCGUACCUUGUUUAGAACUAGUUGAGAGUUUAAAAAGAGUUGAGAGAACUAGUUUCCAAAGUUUCUCUUUGGAAAGGCUAAAUUUUUUUGUGGAAAGUGAAGCUUGCACUGGGAAAGAUUCCUCUGGGUAAAAAUGGGAGAAAGAGGGCUGUGGCCAGGGCAAUCCUUAUCCCUUUGUUCCAGGCCAGGGAUUCAAACCAGGCUGUUCUUCAACCCCUACGGGUGCUUUUGCACUAAGUUGAUGGCUGUUUUGCAGUGGAAUUUUCCUUUGGGAGCUGCUUCUGCAUUGUACAGCUAAUUAAAUAUUUCCUGGGACUCAGAGAGACGGGAUCUGUCGCCUGGUGAUUAGAGCAUCGGGUGACCUGAAUCACAUAGGGGCAUGAACCUGGGUCUUUUCAGACUUUGUAAGCUCCAUGGGUCCCCAUCUUAAUGCAACUGUGUAGUUGCAUGAACAAGUCAUUUUUCCUUCUGUUUUCCUUCCUGUCCUUUGCCUUUUCCUUAAGCACUUCGCUACGGGGAUGGCUCUAGCUUGCUCAUCGUGGCGUCAGUGAGAAUCUGACCCCCAGGGAGCAGCUGUGAGAAAAAUCUGGUAAAAUGCCCUCGUGUAGGCAAGACUAAGAAAAAGCAAGUCCUCUCUUGUCCUGCUUUAGAGACCAAAACAAGAGAUACCUCCCAUCUGCAUUGCUUCCCACUUCCUUGGUAGGAAAUGCUGAAUUCACAGCACGCCAGAAGUAUCUGUUUCAAAGCCUUGCUGGCCUUGUCUUGGGUUAGAAACACCUGAGCAGUUGCAAGAGUGGCUUUUGGAGGAGCACAGUAAUCCGCAAGUUCAGGGUUUACAAAGAACCAGCCUGCUAGCAGGUGUCAGUCGACAUAACUGCAUUGAAGCAGAGGGUCUGUUCCUCCCAGGAUAAACCUUGAGGUUCACAAAAAGGCCAAGUUCAGGAUAUGCCAAUUCACCAUCGGCAGCUGAACAAACGGUACGGUAGCAGUUUCCCAGCUGGAUAUUCUAAACAUUUUUAUUAAGUUGGAGGGACAGAAGGCAUUUGCCCUGGGUUCUCUGAUCAGCAGGCAUGCUGCAAGGCAGGUUCGUAAGAGUUAGGCAUGUAAAGGAGUCAUUUAGACUCAUAUGCUUAACCCCCCACAUUUAACUCUUGCAGCUGCAAGUGGACUGAGGAGAAGGCGAGGUGGGACAGUUUGGCUAUCAGGAUGCUACGCACUGCAGGGUAGUUGUAUGGCUGGGAGGUAGUUGGAAUUUUUGUUAUUUAAGUCGAGAAGGAACAAAAGGUAAUAAUGGAGCAAAUUCUCUGUGCUUUGUCUUUGCCCAUAUCAUAUAGCUAAUAAAAAUACAUCUCUAUUCUGGAUAUAAUCUCCA